GUAUUUUGAAUUGUUUUAUUCAUAAUAUUUUUCAGACAAAGAGUUGAGAUAAUAGUUGAUGUUUGGUCGAUCUCCAAGAAGAUCGACUGACAUUGCACACAAGGUGGAUAUGGAUUUAAAAAGUGCCAUAAAACACUUAUUAUGAAUGAUCCUUCCGCAGGUUCACCUACGGAAA
rnacentral:misc_RNA from 1 species